GCUCUAGCUGCAAGAUUAUGGAAAAAGUCCUUUCGGAGAAACUGAGGUGCAAUUUAGGCUAACAAGGGUCACGCUGGAGCCUAUGUUGAGAUCCAUGGCCUACAUUAGCCAGCAGCUGUCAACACCAGCCAAUAGAGUUGCCGUCAUAAACUUGAAGCUCCAAGAUAUGAAGACUACUUCAGGAGAAACAGAGGUGAAAUUUCAAGUGUCAAGAGAUACACUCGGUUCCAUGUUGAGAUCGAUGGCCUACAUUCGUGAGCAACUCUGAAGUCAUCCCCUUGUGCUAAAGGAAGCAUGUUUCUGGUUAUGAACUCUAUUAAGAAGAGGUCUCUCAUGGUGAAGUUUCCCAUCACAGGUCGAGACUCAAAUUGAUCACUGUAUCGAGGCACAAAUGGCGAGCCGCUCUCCAUCUAAAAGGUUGUGUACCAUGUGAACAUUUUACUGACAGAAUCUAGUUUGGUUAUAGGUAGGCAUUUGGUUACCUAAGUUUUUAUCAACCACAAUUGGUUUGUUUGUAGUUAGGUCUGAUCAUCCAUAUGUAUACAUACAUCUAACGCGUAGAUGGUAUAUCGUUUCCAUGUAGAGGUGUAUUGGAAACCAUUUGUAAAUGUAUGUUGGCAACACUCAGAUCUUGAUUUAAUGCACAUUGCAGAUAUAGCUACAUAUCUUUCAUUUUUAA